rnacentral:rRNA from 1 species
UCUAAUGAGACUGCCGGUGACAAGCCGGAGGAAGGUGGGGAUGACGUCAAGUCCUCAUGGCCCUUAUAGGUGGGGCUACACACGUCAUACAAUGGCUGGUACAGAGGGUUGCCAACCGCAGGGGGAGCUAAUCCCAUAAAACCAGUCGUAGUCCGGAUCGCAGUCUGCAACUCGACUGCGUGAAGUCGGAAUCGCUAGUAAUCGCGGAUCAGAAUGUCGCGGUGAAUACGUUCCCGGGUCUU